rnacentral:lncRNA from 1 species
CCUCUCUCCUGUCCCCAGCCCCCGCUGAUUAGCUCUCCUCGCUGUCUGUGCAGGGAUCCGCAGCUGCCACCCGAAGAAGCUGGAGAAGGGACGAUUCGAGUUGCCAAUCCUAGGCAAAGGUGAAGGGACAGGAUCUCGUCCUCACAUCCUCCACCCAGGAUCCACGUCCGAUGGGGAAGUGCCUGCGGGGGUGCUGGCCAGGUGCCGGUGACGUCUGAGGACGGCAGGGUCUGUUUCUCCCCAGCGGAGUGGGCGGCGUUAGCGGAAUGGCGGAGGGAGCGGAACGAGCUGGUCACCUCGCUGAGUGAGGACGGUGUCUGGUGCACCGGUGAGAGGGGCCGGUGCAAACAGCUCCAGGUGAAAGAGUGAUCAGUCUGGACCCCCCCCCAUCCCCCACACAAGGCCGUGAGGCUGGCCUUGCGGCUGGGUGUAGCCAUGUCCGAAGAAUCGCACCCGUCAAAGGAGGGGGCAGGAUGGCCCAGCGAACUGGAGAUGGGCUGUGGAACCUUUUCUCGUGGCGUCACCAGUUCAAAUCCAGG